rnacentral:rRNA from 1 species
UACGGGGGGGGUAAGCGUUGUUCGGAAUUAUUGGGCGUAAAGAGCUCGUAGGCGGUCUGUCGCGUCGGCUGUGAAAUCCCGAGGCUCAACCUCGGGUCUGCAGUCGAUACGGGCAAACUAGAGUAUUGCAGGGGAGACUGGAAUUCCUGGUGUAGCGGUGAAAUGCGCAGAUAUCAGGAGGAACACCGGUGGCGAAGGCGGGUCUCUGGGCAAUAACUGACGCUGAGGAGCGAAAGCGUGGGGAGCGAACAGG